rnacentral:rRNA from 1 species
UACGAGGGGGGCGAGCGUUGUUCGGAAUUAUUGGGCGUAAAGGGUGCGUAGGCGGCCUGACAAGUCUGAUGUGAAAUCCCUGGGCUCAACCCAGGGCCUGCAUCGGAAACUGUCGGGCUUGAGUAUGGGAGAGGUGAGUGGAAUUUCCGGUGUAGCGGUGAAAUGCGUAGAUAUCGGAAGGAACACCUGUGGCGAAAGCGGCUCACUGGACCAUUACUGACGCUGAGGCACGAAGCUAGGGGAGCAAACAGG